UACAGAGGGUGCGAGCGUUGUCCGGAAUCACUGGGCGUAAAGGGCGCGUAGGUGGCGCCCCAAGUCUGUGGUGAAAGCUCGAUGCUCAACAUCGAGUCGGCCACGGAAACUGGGGGGCUGGAGCACUGUAGAGGCUAAUGGAAUUCCGGGUGUAGCGGUGGAAUGCGUAGAGAUCCGGAAGAACACCGGUGGCGAAGGCGGUUAGCU
rnacentral:rRNA from 1 species